rnacentral:rRNA from 1 species
GUUGACCUCGGAUCAGGUAGGGAUACCCGCGAACCUACCACCCC